GCUAAAAGCCUCCACGUGGAAAGAAAUCCCCAAAUGUUACAAAUGGAGAUUAACGACCAGAAAGCAGCCCGAGCAGCAGCGAAAUGCGAAAUCUCCCUCUUCUGCGUUCCCUGCUGUUGAUUUAUAUUUUAUUUUUAACUACAAUCUCACAGAGACGCAGCGCCGGGAAAUCACGACCAGAUGUACUCAAAGAGGCUCUUUGCUUUCGGCUAACAUCUCUUUUAAACACAUCAAGAAAAAGAAAGGAUUGGAAAUAGUUCGGUUUGCUUGUUUAUUUAAGUACAGACGCGACUGCGAAGAGUCGGGGCAAAACGGCAGCGCAGCUGCGCGGGAGUCGUUCUGAAAAUAGAGCGUACGGAGCUGCGCCUCUUAGGGCUGAGACUGCGCCGUGUGCUGAGCUGCACCCGGGGAGGAGGGAGCCUGCCGGCGGCCCAGCUCUAUGCUCUUCAUUUUGCUCUGCAAAAACAGCUCUAGGUUUGGCCAGGAGCAGGAAAGGAAUGCGUUUAUCCUGCGCUGGGCUGCGCGUAAAGUGGGCGCUGUGGGAUGCCGUGUUUCUGCGCCUCGGCUCCUUCUUCUCUGGGAAGAGUAGCAAAGAUCUGACUGUAAAAGCAGGUUUGCAGGCAGACAGGAAGGACUGCCCCUGAGAAGUAAAGGGGCUUUUAUUUCCAGGGGACCCGCCAGAACUCCGAGAUUCAGCCCUAGGCGCACCUCCUUCCUUCCCCGCCCCCCCCGGCACCGACGAGGAGAGGCAUCAUCCAGCCCCGCUCCCCGAGGCUCCUCGCCUGGCCUCGUCCCGGCUUGGCAGUGCUGCACAUGGAGCUUCUCCCUAAGGAUAAGCAUCAUCCUUCUCUUUAUAUGGUUGCUGAGCACAGAGCUGCUAUCUGUGCAUGUCUUUGCAGUUGAUUUGUCUGUUGUCUAUAGAAAAAAAAUAUUUGGGGAAUAAUGAAACAAUCCAAAUGACAUUUAGUUUGGGGAAAUAACAGUAAGUGGUUAAGAUGACAUUAUAAAGUGUACUGAGUGUUUCUCGUUGUGUUUUCAUUUGAUUGUAACACUCACCAAGACCAGAUUUAUGCCUGGUUUACAAAUGAGACAAAGGCAACUGCUAGAGCCUAUUAAUUCGUGCAUUUCCUUUGACUUAGCUAGAUUUUUCUUGUACUAUAAACCUGUAUUCAAGUCAAGCAAAUAAUGGGAAGGAAUUGAUCUAGAAAUAUCUUGAUUUCUCUUUUAAAUUUAAAAAAACAUGGACCUGAAAUGUGCUGGUGUCCAUAUCAAUGGACACAAACUUGGUCAUGAAUCCCAUAAAUUUCACUGGGGAGCCUGAAAAAAAAAAAAAAAAAAAAAAA
ensembl:lncRNA